GUGCUGGAAAGCUUCCAUGAAGUUCUCUUGCUCUUAGGAGAGACCUACAGGACGAGGUGGUCUCUCUUUUUCCUCAAAAUAGUCAUGCUUCUGUUGCGAUCUGGAAGUGCUACAGCCAUCUUGCUACCUCCCUGAGAAUGAAGCUUCCACUGGGGAUGGCUUCCACUGGAGAAAUGGAAAAAAAAGAUCCCAUCCUGGAUCUCACAUUUAAUCAUCAUGUGUCCUCAGGCUCCUCUGUGGCAGUUUCUCAGUCUUUUCUUAUUUUUGAUGACCUUGACAAUUUUGAGGAGUUCUGGUCAGGUGGUGAUCCCAGGAGCACUUCCUAACGUACCUGCUGCAAGCUGUUCUCCAUUUUAUUUAUUUAAUUUUUUUUUUGAGAUGGCAUCUCGCUCUGUCACCCAGGCUGGAGUGCAGUGGUGCAAUAUGAAUUCACUGCAACCUCCGCCUCCCAGGUUCAAGCGAUUCGCCUGCCUCAGCCUCCCGACUAGCUGGGAUUACAGGCACCUGCCACCACACCUGGCUAAUAUUUGUAUUUUUAGUAGAGAUGGGGUCUCACUAUGUUGGCCAGGUUGGUCCGGAACUCCUGACCUCAAGUGAUCUGCCUGCCUCAGCCUCCCAAAGUGCUAGGAUUACAGGCAUGAGCCACCACACCCGGCCUGUUCUCCAUUUUAGAGCCUGGUUCCCAAGCAAUCCAAACUGUGACAGUUUCUCUUCCUUGCAAAAGGGUGAUCAAUUGUCCUGGUAUGCCCAGGACUGAGGGAGUUCUUGAGAUAAGAUGAUUGCCCACCUUGCAACCAAGAAUUCUAAGAGAUAUAACUCUCAAUAGCUUGGGUGACCAAAAAGUGUCACUGUUUAUCACCCUUUGAGGAGUCUGUGAUGUAAAUAAAAAUAUAUUUGGUCUUUGCCCCACUGCCUGGCACAGAGCUUUUAAAACUUUUGGCAUUUCCUGAAUGAUGGGAAUGUCUUUUGUUACCCAUGACAAGCUCCUUUUUUUUUGAGAUGAAGUCUCACUCUUGUUCCCCAGGCUGGAGUGCGAUGGCACGAUCUUGG
rnacentral:lncRNA from 1 species